UAGCUUUCAAUUGACGCCGCAGUCGCCUAUAUUAGGAGUGCCGGAUUCGUCCGGCUAUGGCGAUAAAUGGACAUCGCAAUAAGCCCAUCGGACCCGGGGGCAGUACCCGGCGCCUCCACCCCAGGGGUCAGAGACCUGACCCCUGCGGCGGGGGCGAACUAGGAUCGACGAGGGUGUAAAGGGUGCUCUUUUGCCCGGCAUGAUACCGCCGUUAUCGGGUCAAUCAGAAUAGUUGCCAAUGACAACUAUGCUGAGGCUGCUCUCGCUGCGUAACGCGGCGCGAAAAGCCUGAACUUGAAGUCCUGACGUCUAGCCGCGUCAGGCGCGGUUUCGGAGGGCACCGGGCAACAGAAGCCCUCCACU
rnacentral:tmRNA from 1 species